rnacentral:rRNA from 1 species
CUACGGGUCGCACCAGUGGGGAAUAUUGGACAAUGGGGGAAACCCUGAUCCAGCAAUGCCGCGUGUGUGAAGAAGGCCUGCGGGUUGUAAAGCACUUUCGGUUGGGAGGACUGCUUCUAGCACUAAUAUUGUUGGAAGUUGACGUUACCUUCAGAAGAAGCACCGGCUAACUCCGUGCCAGCAGCCGCGGUAAUACGGAGGGUGCACGCGUUAAUCGGAAUUACUGGGCGUAAAGCGCGCGUAGGCGGCUAGGUCAGUCGGGUGUGAAAGCCCCGGGCUUAACCUGGGAACUGCAUCCGAUACUGUCUAGCUUGAGUACAGGAGAGGAGAGUGGAAUUCCACAUGUAGCGGUGAAAUGCGUAGAUAUGUGGAGGAACACCAAUGGCGAAGGCAGCUCUCUGGCCUGAUACUGACGCUGAGGUGCGAAAGCGUGGGGAGCAAACAGGAUUAGAUACCCCUGUAGUC